UGAAAGCUGGCGUCUUCGGCGUCCGCAUUGUAAUCUCAAGAAGUGUUUUCCGCUUCGGACCAUGCCUAAGUCCCUUGGAAAAGGGCAUCAUAGAGGGUGAUAAUCCCGUACAUGGCAUGGAGCGCCCGAAGCUUUGUGAUACGCUUUCUAAGAGUCGAGUUGUUUGGGAAUGCAGCUCAAAAUGGGUGGUAAAUGCCAUCUAAGGCUAAAUAUUGGGGAGAGACCGAUAGCGAACAAGUACAGUGAUGGAAAGAUGAAAAGAACUUUGAAAAGAGAGUUAAACAGUACGUGAAAUUGCCAAAAGGGAAGGGUAGGAGGUCAGAGAUGCGGCCUGGGAUUCAGCCUUGCUUUUGCUUGGUGUUUUUCCCAGAUUGCAGGCCAACGUCGGUUUUGGGCACUGGAGAAGGGUAGGAGGAACGUGGCACCUCUCGGGGUGUGUUAUAGCCUCCUACUGGAUACAGCGACCGAGACCGAGGACAGCAGCGUACUCGCAAGAGCGGGCCUUCGGGCACCUUUACGCUUAGGGCGUUGGCAUAAUGGCCCUCUACCACCCGUCUUGA
rnacentral:rRNA from 1 species